rnacentral:ncRNA from 1 species
UAGGGCACGUACAUAGCGGAGCCUUAGACCGCUAAAGUGAAGCGCCUUGCCAAGAAGCGACCUGUGGUGGGGUUGCGUUGCGUUCAAAAGCAUUUGCCGUCAGGGAGCNGACCCUGNUAAAAAAGUGUAUGCGAUUGGAUGUCGGAGCUCGCGGACGCGACCCGCGAAAAAAAGCAUAGUUGCCGGUGUGUUCGCAACUGCAACGAGGUUCGAGAAAACAAAUUAGGGCAAAAGCAGUCGGUGCACCACCACCGGCUGUUUUUG